GAGGAGCGGCCGCUCCACGUUCAGAUGGUGCAGCAAAGCCGGGCUCGGCCGGGGCAGCGCCACAAAGGCGGCUCAGAGCAGCUCCCGCUUCAUGGAGCCCAUUCACAGUGUGCCCAGUUUGUGUUUAUUCAUGGGGACCGCAGCACUGGGCUGUGGGAGACGACUCACUUAGCGCUGAGCUCUCAGUAAUUGGCUAUCAGCUCAGCGGUCCUCUUUGUGUCAGAGCAAAGCAUGGGAGUCGCACCACGCGUGACGCCUGCAUGGCAGCACACACCGAGCCGCGGAGACGUCACACAAGCAGAUGUGCCACAGCCCUUUGGAGCAGUGAGCGAACGAACCAGUUGCACAUCUGCACUGAGCAAGCCAAAGCAUGAAUCCUGAAGGCACGAGUGGAAACAAAGAGGGUUGUCUGAAUGAAUAAAGAGAAGGGUUCCUCCAGAAGAUGCUGCGAGCGGCCGGGAGAGCCAAAUGAUUAAUGAGAGCCGGAGCCGGGCGCACCCUGCCCACCUCCACCCGCAUCGGGAAUGAGGACGCACUGCAGCCUGGUGGGAUGCGCACAGCCACAGUUCUGGGCAGAAGGGACUGGGAAGGACUGCUCCACAUCCCGGCUAAAUCCAUCUACGGGAAGUCCCAGGGCGCAUCCCUGCAUCAGAGCCGGUGCUGCAGGAGAGGAGAGCGUCCCGUGCCGUCCUGGUGCCGUGCAGAGGGUGCGUUGCAGGUCUGGAGAGGGUCCAUCCCGGCUCCUUUGUAGAAAGGUGUGCCGUGACACAGGAACAAAGGAAGAACAAGAGCGCGAAGUUUGGAGCAAGUUAAUAAAAAGCGAGUGGGAGCAGGAUUUGUUUGAACUCACAGGGCUCGCACUGACAGAGACAAAUCUAUCCGAGGAAUCAGGCGUGCUACAUCUGAAAAUAAAAUGGGAUGGAGCUGCAGAGCACGGGGUGAUGAGCAGCGUUACGGCCCAGAGAGCCGCUCUGCCUGGGAGUGCUGAGCAAAGAGCCCCUCCCUCCCCCUGGGAACGCACUGUACCAUUUUAUUCCCCUUUUUCUUUACAUUUCCACUUCCGAUCGCUGAUUUGGAUUUAAAAUUAAUUUGGUGAUUUGAGUUUAAUAAGAAUGUUAGACAUGAUUUCCUUCUCACUCUUACUUUUAAUUAACUUUUUAAUUGAGAUUUAAAUGAAUUCUAAUG
rnacentral:lncRNA from 7 species